GUCCAGUGCUAUAAAUCCUGGUUGAAACCAGCUGAACUUUGUCAUCUGUCAGCAGUGUAACAACUCUGUUAAUUGCUAUCUACUGAUUAGACCUCCCGCAGACCUGGCACGGAAAGAAGUCUUCCCAGUGGGUGAGAUUUCCUUGCAAGAGAAAUACAGGACUGAACACUGUGACGUGCACGGCUCCAACUGUGAUCAGCCAGAAAAGAGAAACCUUAUUGCAGUGUUUCCACCUGCUUUCAGAAAGUCGUAGGAGCUCGGCAGGCUGUUUUCCACUGGUGACUCUGGAGGACAGAGGAAAAAUCAGCUGACAGAAUGUUUCUUGCAAAGGAGAAGUAUAUAAAAUGAGUGCAUAUGACAAUUUCAUGGGAAAAGAAAGCCUUCGUCUUGUCCUGACAAUCAGUUACUUCCAGCAUUACUGAAGAAGACCACUGAUUGACUGGUCCUGAAGACUAACAGCAUGGUAGGACUUACUAAGUUGGGAACUGAGAACAAGGCAGAAACAUUAUGAAACAAGAUGAAUUAUGGUUUGUCCAUGUCUUCAAUAUUAUGGUCUGUCCACCUGCGUCUCAGAGAGGAUGCAGAAGUAAUAGAAGAGAUUCAGAGAGGUUCACAGGGCACCAGCUGCAAAUUUCAGGAGCAAAGGGCAGCCAAAGGGUGUCUGAAAUGAGGCUGGAAGGCAAAACCCUGAGAAGCUCCCACCUCUGUGAAUUUGUUGCUGAAAUCACAGCCCCACUGUGCACUGGGGAAAGCGUGCUGUGCCUGGCACUGGCUGUGCCUGUGCUAGCUGGACACAUCUGAAGGUGCAAAGAGUUAAGUAAUUUAUAGCACUGCCACUCUAAGUAGCCCUGAGAGCCUGCAGAUUGGUAAAUGAUACAUAGAGCAAUUCAUUCUUCAGAAACCAUUUCCUAUUAGCAAAUGAUGUGUGAAGCACCUCAUUCUUCAGAAACUAUUUCCUAUCCAUUCUGAGUCGGACUAGGGUGGACCAGGACAGAGUCACGGACCAACUGACAUUAGAUUGCACAGGAGACCUGGCAUCUAGCAAGUUUGCUCAUAACACCAGCAUUUUUAUUUAGCAAUGUGCCAUGGUGCAAUCUCAGUACAGAUUUCCAAUGGGCAGCUCAGGAGCUCCGUUAUAACUUUUUUGCACACCUGCACACCUCAAUCUCCUUUUUUUUUUUCUGAGUUCUUUUGCAUUUAUUUAAGCCACAUGCUGUGUUGAUGAUAUGUGAAUGAGAUAGAGUUUUCUGUCAGUCCAACUAUCUUUCUAACAUCCCCCAUUGCCUUACGCGUGUCCUUAUCCCAUCACAGUAAAACUGACUCCGUCCUCCUCAUUCAUGCCACACUUGUGUGCUUUCCAAUAAAGCCAGAAGUUGCAAUUUUCAGAUUUAUAUAAAUAGGGACUGUGUUGCUGUCACUUGCCACAGUGAUAACAAAUAAAAUCUGUGUUUUAGCUGAUCACUGUUAGAGGAAAAUCCUCUAGAGAGCAGAAAAGGUGUUUUAAAGUGGUAAGUUGUUACCAGCUAUUACUGCAAAGAAUGUUCCUAACUUUUGAAAUUAAAUAUCAAUUUAUCAAAGAACUAAACCCACCUACUAGAGUACAUGAACCAUAUUCUAGACAACAGGGCCUAAAUUAUAGAUUAUUCUGAAUUCGCUCUAAUAGUGAUCUAGUUCAGACACUCUGAUAGCAAAUCACUGUCUGAAAAAAAGAUGCUGAGGUACGUGGAGCACUAGUUUGCUCAUUCUGAUCCUUCUGUGAAUUUAUUAGUGUUUAAAAAGCACAGUAGUUUCACAUGCUAAGAACAAGCAGCACACACAAAUACAGAGUACAGAUACACAAUGAAUACUUUGCUUUUUUAUGUUAUAGAGAGAAUGCUUAUGCUUAGCGGUGUCCAAGAUUGGGAGAAAAUGAACGUAGAAAUUAAUGUGUUUUCUAGUGCAAUGGUAAAAAAGGGGCUGCAGGGAUAGAAGGUAUGAUUCAUCUUAGCUAAAUGAAGACAUCUACACCUGAGUGAGUAGCUCUAGGCUUGUGCUAGACACCUACAUCUGAUCGGCUGGACACACCACAUUCAGAAACACGUGUGGUGCUUUUGGACCUUGCCAGGUCUGCGGUACUUUGGAGGAUGCAGAACUGCCCUCUCGUUGAGAGAGGGCUCUUGCUGUUUCUUGCUGUGCUGCAGAAGAUGCAGCUACUUUAAGCCAUAAAUAUCCUGGAGUGUUUUUUUCUGACAGGGCUGAAGGGAGGCCAGGAGACAAUUCAGAGCAGCAGGCAGGUGGCAGUGUUAGGCAUUAUCUCCUUCCCUGGUAAUGGAUUACAGUUACCACUUGCACUAAUUUAUAUUAGUCAGGGAAGUGGCUAAUUACGUUUGAUUGCUGGCAACAUUCCUCUAUUCCAGAGCAAGGGAGUGAAUUUUUCCUGCUUCUGAAUAAGCGAGCUGCCAGUGCUCAGAGAGCUCUACAGAAAUGGAUGAGCCGAAAGGGAGUUGUGCUUUCAGCCUGCUUGAGAGCCUCUGUUCAACUUGCAGACAAAAUGCCCCGACACCCUUAUGGCACCAGACACCAAACCCUUUCCAUCUCCCAUGCCUUGAAGCAGCUCUGGACCCAGGGCACUGCUACCAUGUAAAGGAGCAAGUGACACUGCCAUGGCUGGUUUCAAGUCUCUGGGUUAUAGCAGUGCAAAGAGAGAUUCAUCUGGUGAGUCAUUCAGGGCACAUAUUUAAGGCUGCAACUCUGGACUUUCCUGUGGGAAACAUCUCUGGUUUAUGGGGUAUGCAGAGCAGUAAUGCCUCCUAAUCGGGAUGGUGUAAAUAUCCCACCCUGUGAACCAAGAAAGCCAGAAAAGAUCUGCCCGUAUGAAAAAACUCUGAGCAAAUUACCCUAAUGAGAAGCUGGGAACAAUUGAUUUACGUAAAACAGGGAAAUCUUCUUGUAAGUCAAGAUUGUAUUUUUCUUUUCAGAUGUUAAGAUAGCGAUGGAUAAUCAAUAUGGGAAAUAAACACAUCCUUAAAGCAAACCUGAACUCAAUAGACCUAUUGCUGAUGCGCAUUCUUCCUGUGACAGUGCUGCUCGGCUUCUCCUCCGUUUCCCGUUGUCAUUGUUGAUUGUCUAUUGCUUAAUUACUACAUUACAGCACUUCUUUCACUGUGGCAAGCAAAAUAUUUCAGGCAGAGAAUACAGUUUUAGGCUGCAAUAUAUAUGUCAAAUCCUCUCAAAAGCUCGAAAUCUGCAAUUGCAUGCUGAGAUAUUUCCUCACUUACCAACUGA